rnacentral:rRNA from 1 species
UGGGGAAUUUUGGACAAUGGGCGCAAGCCUGAUCCAGCCAUGCCGCGUGCAGGAUGAAGGCCUUCGGGUUGUAAACUGCUUUUGUACGGAACGAAAAGGUGCCUUCUAAUAAAGGGCGCUCAUGACGGUACCGUAAGAAGAAGCACCGGUUAACUACGUGCCAGCAGCCGCGGUAAUACGUAGGGGGCAAGCGUUGUACGGAUUUACUGGGUGUAAAGGGCGCACAGGCGUGAUAAAAAGUCAGUGGUGAAAUCCUACAGCUUAACUGUAGAACUGCCUUUGAUACUUUUAUUCUUGAGUUCGGGAGAGAGAGACGGAAUUCCAGGUGUAGUGGUGAAAUACGUAGGUAUCUGGAAGAACACCAGUUGCGAAGGCGGUCUCUUGGUCCGACGCUGACGCUGAGGAGCGAAAGCGU